rnacentral:rRNA from 1 species
UGCGUAGGCGGCUCUAUAAGUCAGUAGUGAAAUCUCGAAGCUCAACUUCGAACGUGCUAUUGAAACUGUAGAGCUUGAGUACAGACGAGGCAGGCGGAAUGUGUUGUGUAGCGGUGAAAUGCUUAGAUAUAACACAGAACACCGAUAGCGAAGGCAGCUUGCCAGACUGUAACUGACGCUGAGGCACGAAAGCGUGGGGAGCGAACAGGAUUAGAUACCCUGGUAGUC